UACCCAGCAGGAUACACAGGUGGGAUUAAUAAAGCUCAAUAUUUGCUCAACUAAAAGUUGGAAUCGUGGUAAAAAUAAAUGAAUUAGAACCAGCUCCUAUGGAUAGCUUACAGAAACAAUUUGGGGUUCUAACACUGCUUCCACAUGAAUAAAAAAUGUAUAAAGAAGAUACACUACAAAAGGCAAAGAAAUGAUCACAUCGAGAUGCUUGGGUCAGCUGCAGCUUAAAGACACAGAAUUCAAAAACUAGAAGACAUCGCCGAGACAUUGCAGAAUUUCAGCAUGCUUAAGUGUUGAAGGUGGCCAGGCACAGAGCACUGUGGAAAUCCAUCUGGCUGUGAAGCUGUCCCACAGCCUUGUCCAAGAGUCCCUGCUCAGCUGAGAGGCUGUGGGUAAGUCACAGCCCUCCAUAAGCCUAAACCAUUACAAUUUAAAAUGGAAAUAAAGCAACACUCAAAGUAGAGUGGUUUUGUGAGCAUCAAA